AGAAGUGAUGCAUAAUAUAUUAUGCAAAACUUGAAAAAAAAAAACCUUCAGUGAUUUCCAGCAUCAAAGGUCAUUUAUUCUUCUGAGAGCCUUGUGACCUUUAAGAAUGUCAUCGGUGGCAACAACUGAGGGAUGUGGAGUCUGCCGGCCUUUAUUUCCAAUUCCAGCCUUCAUCCAUGAAGUUACAGCAAUUUGAACCAUUUCUUAUAAUUGAGGUAGGAGUAGACACUUCUGUAGAGGUUUCUGUGAAAAACUGUAAAUGUGCUAGCCAGUAUUCCUGCUUCCAUUUAUUUUGCCUUGAAGAUAGAUGUGAUAAAGGAAGUAAAUGCUGUGUUGCAACAUGAAAUGGAAAGCAUGGAAGAAAGGUCAGAAGGAAAGGGGAACUUUGAGG